ACCUUUACCUUUACUACUGUGAAGCCACCUGAUCUCAUCUGAAUUCAGAAGCUAAAUAAAGUCAUUCCUGAUUAGUACUUGGAUGGAAACCAUGGAGAAGGAGGAA
rnacentral:rRNA from 1 species